rnacentral:rRNA from 1 species
AUUGAACGCUGGCGGCAGGCCUAACACAUGCAAGUCGAACGAGUGGCGGACGGGUGAGUAAUGUCUGGGAAACUGCCUGAUGGAGGGGGAUAACUACUGGAAACGGUAGCUAAUACCGCAUACCAUCGGAUGUGCCCAGAUGGGCUUAGCUAGUAGGUGGGGUAAAGGCUAACCUAGGCGACGAUCCCUAGCUGGUCUGAGAGGAGGACCAGCGAAAUGGGAACGGAGACACGGUCCGGACUCCUACGGGAGGCGGAAGUGGGGAAUAUUGCGCAAUGGGCGCAAGCCUGAUGCAGACAUGCCGCGUGUAUGAAGAAGGCCUUCGGGUUGUAAAGUACUUUCAGCGGGGAGGCGUUACCCGCAGAGGAAGCAACGGCUAACUCCGUGCCAGCAGCCGCGGUAAUUC